rnacentral:lncRNA from 1 species
UCCUCUUCUGUUCAGCUGGCCACCCACAAUAGUUAGUUGCUUCCCAUCUUAAUUAUAGAUAUCACAAAGCAACAUAUGUAUGUAUGUAUGCAUGCAUGCAUGCAUGCAUGCAUGCAUGGCCGAAGAGGCUAGUUUCAGAAAAGUUAGUUAAGCAGGCUAGCACAAGUGAGCACUAAGCACAAGGCAAGAGCAGUGGAGUUGGGUCACAGGAAAUGUGUUUUCAUUUUUUCUUUUUCCAUGUUAUCAUUAGAGAUAAGUAGGCACUAGGCGUGCGAGGUAGCAGGAAAGUAUGAUGUCUUCCCUAAGGCAGAUGGAUUACCGCCAUGAUCGCCGGUGGCUGAGCUAGCGAGGAGAUCGUCACAAUGACAAAUAGUACGUACAUUUAUAUUACAAACAGUAGCACAUUCAUCACUACAUUCAACCGCCAUGAUGAUGUUGCCAAGAGGUUCUGUCGUCGCCCUAUCGGCAUAUAUAUAAGUGAUGAUGUUUCAAAUUAAAUAGGAGUAGCACUUUUGUUGUUAAUGGCCUACACAAUAAUCUUAAAUUUAUUAGUGCUAUUGUAAAUCCAAUAUGUGGACAUAGCACCCGCAAUCCGGUAUGCACAACGUGGCCAGUCC